UACGAAGGGGGGCUAGCGUUGUUCGGAAUCACUGGGCGUAAAGCGCACGUAGGCGGAUUUUUAAGUCAGGGGUGAAAUCCCGGGGCUCAACCUCGGAACUGCCUUUGAUACUGGAGAUCUUGAGUCCGGAAGAGGUAAGUGGAACUGCGAGUGUAGAGGUGAAAUUCGUAGAUAUUCGCAAGAACACCAGUGGCGAAGGCGGCUUACUGGUCCGGAACUGACGCUGAGGUGCGAAAGCGAUGGGGAGCAAACU
rnacentral:rRNA from 1 species